GGGUAGCUCAGGCAGCAAUGAGGACGAGGAAAGUGCCCCCCCCGCUAGAGGCAGAGCUGCGCGUGCCAUUUUCAGAGCGGGCGCGGGGGCGGGCACAGGGACGGGGACGA
rnacentral:ribozyme from 1 species